AUUGAACGCUGGCGGCAGGCCUAACACAUGCAAGUCGAGCGGAUGAAGCGAGCUUGCUCCUGGAUUCAGCGGCGGACGGGUGAGUAAUGCCUAUGAAUCUGCCUGGUAGUGCGGGAUAACGUCCUGAAACCGGCGCUAAUACUCCAUACGUCCUGUGGGCGAAAUUGGGGGGUCCUGCGUCCGCAUGCCUUCAUAUUAGCAUAGAUCGGAUUCGCUAGUUGGUGGGGUAAAUGCUUAACAAGGCUACGAUCCGUAACUGGUCUGAGAGGAUGAUCAGUCACACUGGAACUGAGACACGGUCCAGACUCCUACGGGAGGCAGCAGUGGGGAAUAUUGGACGAUGGGGGAAAGCCUGAUACAGCCAUGCCGGGUGUGUGAAGAAGGUCUUCGGCUUGUAAAGCGAUUUAAGUUGGGGGGAAGGGAAGUAAGUUAAUACCUUGCUGUUUUGACGGUACCAACAGAAUAAGCACCGGCUAACUUCGUG
rnacentral:rRNA from 1 species